rnacentral:misc_RNA from 1 species
UCUCACCUUACGGUGGCAGUCCCGCUAGAGUCCCCAGCUUGACCUGAUGGUAACUAACGGUAAGGGUUGCGCUCGUUAUGGGACUUAACCCGACACCUCACGGCACGAGCUGACGACAACCAUGCAGCACCUUGAAGAACGUCCGAAGAAGUCCCGGUUUCCCGGGAUGUCGUUCCCCAUUUAAGCCCAGGUAAGGUUCCUCGCGUAUCAUCGAAUUAAACCACAUGUUCCUCCGCUUGUGCGGGCCCCCGUCAAUUCCUUUGAGUUUCACUGUUGCCAACGUACUCCCCAGGUGGCUCACUUAACACUUUCGCUUGGCCGCAUACUGUGUAUCGCAUACAGCGAGUGAGCAUCGUUUACGGCGUGGACUAC